GGGGCUUCACUUCUGCUAUCUUAUAAGAAACUUGAAACUGGAACCUAUAUCACAUAAUGUUUUAUAGGGUCAUUUUAUUCAAACAAUUUCAAUCCAAAAUCUCAAAUUUCAAAUCAAUUCAAACAAUUUCAAUCCCUAUUUUUUCAAUCUCCAUUUAAUACAAACAAUUUCAAUCCCAAAUCAAUCCACUACUCAAGAGAUAACAAUCCUCAAUCAAUCUCAAAUUGAUUCCACUGUAUAUCAAAAUUCAUCAAAUUUGAAAUUAAAUUGAGAAAAUGGGAGAAGGUGAAUUGCUGGUUGAAGCGAGGUUGCAAAGAAUGGGUUUAGGUUAUGUUCUGCUUCUAAGUUGCUUUCUGCAAAAUGUACGUGGCGCGGCCUAAUUGGGUCAAAGGUAUGUGCCUUUGGGACCUUAAAGGCAUUGAAGUGCUGCCCAAUCCUCUUUCGUAUAAUUUAUUUAUAAUUAUAAUACAACGCAUAUAGGUUAAGACCGUUGUUAGUCAAGAAAAACGUCCUACUAUGUAUAGUGGGUGUAACAAGGAGUGGUUAAUUAACAAGAACAAGAACACAUUUUUUAACAAAAACUUUUUUAUAAUUUAUCAUCCUUUAAAAAAAAUGAAGGGUUUAGAACACAAUUUUUUAACAAGAACAACGACUACUAGAAAGAGAAAGACACCGUUGGCAUUUAA
rnacentral:lncRNA from 1 species